rnacentral:rRNA from 1 species
CCUACGGGUGGCAGCAGUGAGGAAUAUUGGUCAAUGGACGAGAGUCUGAACCAGCCAAGUAGCGUGAAGGAUGACUGCCCUAUGGGUUGUAAACUUCUUUUAUAUGGGAAUAAAAUGUUCCACGUGUGGGUUUUUGUCUGUACCAUAUGAAUAAGGAUCGGCUAACUCCGUGCCAGCAGCCGCGGUAAUACGGAGGAUCCGAGCGUUAUCCGGAUUUAUUGGGUUUAAAGGGAGCGUAGGUGGAUUGUUAAGUCAGUUGUGAAAGUUUGCGGCUCAACCGUAAAAUUGCAGUUGAAACUGGCAGUCUUGAGUACAGUAGAGGUGGGCGGAAUGCGUGGUGUAGCGGUGAAAUGCUUAGAUAUCACGAAGAACUCCGAUUGCGAAGGCAGCUCACUGGACUGCAACUGACACUGAGGCUCGAAAGUGUGGGUAUCAAACAGGAUUAGAUACCCCUGUAGUC